GAUGAACGCUGGCGGCGUGCCUAGUACAUGCAAGUCGAGCGAACAGACGAGGAGCUUGCUCCUCUGACGUUAGCGGCGGACGGGUGAGUAACACGUGGAUAACCUACCUAUAAGACUGGGAUAACUUCGGGAAACCGGAGCUAAUACCGGAUAAUAUAUUGAACCGCAUGGUUCAAUAGUGAAAGACGGUUUUGCUGUCACUUAUAGAUGGAUCCGCGCCGCAUUAGCUAGUUGGUAAGGUAACGGCUUACCAAGGCAACGAUGCGUAGCCGACCUGAGAGGGUGAUCGGCCACACUGGAACUGAGACACGGUCCAGACUCCUACGGGAGGCAGCAGUAGGGAAUCUUCCGCAAUGGGCGAAAGCCUGACGGAGCAACGCCGCGUGAGUGAUGAAGGUCUUCGGAUCGUAAAACUCCGUUAUUAGGGAAGAACAAAUGUGUAAGUAACUAUGCACGUCUUGACGGUACCUAAUCAGAAAGCCACGGCUAACUACGUG
rnacentral:rRNA from 1 species